GCCGUCUGCUGCAGUAAACAGUCAAAAAAAAGAAAAAAGAAAAAAAAAAGCCACAAAUUUAGGCCAUGUCAUCGAUCUGCGUCAGGCUUAGAAUUUGAAACCUAGACUAAAACACAACAUUGCAACAAACCAGCCCGCACUCUUCAAUCUGCUCAGUUCCACGGUAACGGCACAACAGAUUUGGAGGCCAUCGACGACCGAAAAAAUGUGGUUGUUGCUGUGGAGGUAAGGUUUUCUACGGUAUCCAUAUUAUCCAUGGUCAUGAGGCUAAGGAGCUGCCAGUCCCAAAUCUAGACUCGCCUGGAGCGGUGUGGGUGGGGGAUAUGAAGCAGCCGGAUUUGUACUCGCCUGGACGUUCUUCUCUUCUCCAGCUUAGCCUCUCUUCAUGGUCGUUUCAUCCUCAUCUCAACCAACCACAAACCCUCAGGACCUGUAAUUCUCUACCAUCGUAGAUGUGGGUUUUUGCAGAAUUCUGCGAUUGGCUGGGAUUUGAGAUUUCGGUUUGUUGAAUUCGCUAGGCUUAUGUUUGAUAGAAUGCCAAAGCAAGGCUCGAUUAGGUAGUUUUGCUGUUGCUAGCGGAGGAGAGGAAUAUGAUUUCUUGGAAUUCAAUGAUUAGUGGGAAAGCACAAUCUAAAGAUAAUUAGCUUAAUGUUGCAUGGGAUUUUUUUUGGGAAAA